rnacentral:lncRNA from 1 species
GGCCAGGGUCUGCCAGGGGUUGCUGAUGGUCAUUGUGCUCAUGUGUAUGAGCCAUGUUGCCCAGUUACUUUCUUCUUUUGUAUUUGUACCAGGAUAUCCUGGACCUGAGUUGAAAUUUAACUCAGGAGGUAUAUCUAACACAGAAAGCCAGUUGCCAUGGCAGGCCUUCCUUUCUCUCUCCAGCUAUUUCCUGCCUCAGUAGGAUAGAACAAAUAAAGAUAGGUAGAAAGGAGACAAAGAAAAUCAUAAUUUAAAAAUGUACUUUUAAGAAAACUGCAACUUCAGAACAUAAUCAAUGUUACCUAAGGUUAUCCAUAUUUGUACUCCAUAUCUUUAUUCCCUAGGCUUGGUCCUGUUCCCUAGCUGGCUUUUCCUUUUUUUUUUUUUUUCUCCUUCCAGGCCCAUCACAACCAAACCCCUUAAAUAUAUAGUGGUACCUCAGUUCACCGAUGCGUUUGUGUGCAAACAGUUUGGUUUUUGUGAACAACAGAAGCAUUUAGCAAAAUUUUGCUUUUGUUUUCUAACUCUGCAUCAGAUGACAAACAUGACUACGGCCAUAUUUCCCACAUGACCAUGAACGUGGCCAUCUUUUUCAGACUUGUAGAAUGAAUUAAGUUCAUGAACCGUGGCACCUCUGUACUAUUAACCCAUAAGUUAACCUAGUUAAUAAGGUAAAGGACAGCAACCUAUGCUUAAGAUGAAGAAACAGACUCAAAGGUUUCAAAGAUUGUUUUUAUUUUUGGACAAUCUUUGAUCAUCCAUCUUCAAGGAUAACUUUAAGAACACAUGUAUUCUCAACUCCAUACCAUAGUGUACCUCUCUCUUGUGUGCCUAUACUCUAUUUUCACUAUGUACUUCUUUAACUCUGCCUAGUAAAGUCUAUCUAUGUUUUUCACUGAUGUGUCCAGAAUUUUUUUUUUCUUUGACCAGAGUCAAGAACCUAGUUGGUAUGCUGAGUUGAGAUUCCCAUCUCUUCUUUGGGAGGACUCCUUGGAUCCUAUCUGGUGACCGUAUUAUACGAACGUCUUUCAUUAUUCAUGAAAGGAAUGGGAUGAAACAUUGGAGUCCCGGAAGAUGAAGUGAAACAUCAUCCUUGCUUUUUUUCUCCCAUCAUCUCAUCACGGGAUUCACUUGAGACUAAUUCUUAAAAUAUCAUUUGAAUCUUCUCAUGUUUUGAUAGCCCCACCUCUCCUGUCACAGGCCAAGCCAUCUGACAUUUUUCUGCUGAUCACAGCAAGUUUAUUGUUCACCCACUUCCUACCAGGCUUCCUAUCCAGCCUAGCUCCAAAAAUUCUAAAAGCAAUGAUAUGGCCACAUUACUGCCAAGUUUAAGCCUUCCCAUAAUCCUCAGUGUGC